UACGUAGGGUGCGAGCGUUAAUCGGAAUUACUGGGCGUAAAGCGUGCGCAGGCGGUUCGUUGUGUCGGCGGUGAAAGCCCCGGGCUUAACCUGGGAAUGGCCGUUGAAACUGGCGAACUGGAGUGUGGCAGAGGGGGGUGGAAUUCCGCGUGUAGCGGUGAAAUGCGUAGAUAUGUGGAGGAAUACCGAUGGCGAAGGCAGCCUCCUGGGCCAACACUGACGCUCAUGCACGAAAGCGUGGGGAGCAAACAGG
rnacentral:rRNA from 1 species